rnacentral:sRNA from 1 species
UUCUUCUUCUUCUGCU